GACGAAGGAUCCAAGCGUUAUCCGGAUUUAUUGGGUUUAAAGGGUGCGUAGGCGGAUUGAUAAGUCAGUGGUGAAAGCCUGCAGCUUAACUGCAGAACUGCCAUUGAUACUGUCAAUCUUGAAUAUGUUUGAUGUGGGCGGAAUAUGACAUGUAGCGGUGAAAUGCUUAGAUAUCGUCAAGAACACCGAUAGCGAAGGCAGCUUACUAGACUGUAACUGACGCUGAUGCACGAAAGUGUGGGGAUCAAACAGG
rnacentral:rRNA from 1 species